GGUGCGAGUAGCCUGGGCUUGGGUUCGAGCUCUGUCGCGGGCAGCCUACCAGGCUCAGGUUAGGCUUUAGGAUAUACAGAAGCAUCGGAGAGUGGGAUGGAGUCAGAGGAAGACCCUGCUGAGGUAAGGGUUGUCAUAUUCCAAAAAGUGAAAAUCCAGACACAGAAGUUGUUGAGAACGUGCUUGUAUGUGUGAAAAAUGACAUUAAUGUGUUGGGGGGUUUUGUGCUGAUAGUGCAGAAUGACACGUCUAUCUAUCAAUUGUCUGGUAGAAUUUAAUAACAUGUGACUUGUGUUAUUAAUGGAGAAACAUGCAACCCUCCGGUCUUCUGAGUCUGUAUUACUAGUACCUAAAGAAACAGCUCACACAAAGCAGCCUCUUUCCCUGUCAUGUUUCUUUUAAAAGAGCUAUUGUUAAAGUGCUUCAUUCUGGAGUGCUUUGAUUGUUGUGUUAUGUACAGAACACUGUAAUUAAUUUAACAACAGGUCCUUUGAAGGUCAAAUUGCCACUUUGAAUAUCAAUGUGUCCAAUGUACUGAAUGCAUUUAGGGGCACUCUUUAUAUCUUGCACCUCUCCUAAAGUGUCUGAUAUAUAUAUAUAUAUUGGGUCACUUGUGGAGCAGUUGACCAGGGAUAUUCAGUUUUCUUAAAUGCAGUUUUCAUAUUUCACAAUGAUUUGCAAAGGUAAAUAUAUACAUUUAGGAAGGCACAACAGUAGACAUAUUAUGCUUUUGGAUGACACAGAAUAGACAAAAUUGUGCAAAUUUAUUUAUUUUUAUUUAUUAAAUUUGUAUCCCACCCUUCCUCCCACAGGAAAUACCAUUCCAGUACAGAUGCAGAUGGGGAAAGCUGUCAGUUGAAAAAGCUUGUUGAAAGAAAUUGGUGUUACGAGUUUGGAGGUGCUAGACUCACCAAAAGUCCUUGGUACGGUAGGGGUUAGAAUUUAAUCAAUACUUGGGGUCUUAAGUGGGUUGCCAGACACAGGGUUUAGUGAGUGUUAAAAUAUAAGGCUGGCCAGUUUCCCAGCAGGAAACAUGGAGAACCAUUAAUGUAGGUAAUGCUUUAUAAUGGUCCUUUGGCAAAUCAUAGACCCUGUGCCAGAUGCCUUUUAGGAGGGGCUUCCAGAUCUGAGUUAGUUAGAAAGACAAAGACCAGGGUUUGAUGUGGAGCAGUGUUUUUCAGUAUUGGUCUUGAUGUGAGCUGAAGGGAAAAUGUAGCAGUCUGUAAAAGUCAGCAAGCUGCAGAGAGUCAGAUCCAUGUCUGGUGUCUGUUUGGAUCCAAGGCUGAAGUUAUGGGAGGAAGCAGAGCUGCUUGGGGUGUUAAUGCUGUGAACCCCUCUAUCAUAGGCUCAGGUUGUAUAUAUGUGUAAGGAAACCAUAUAUCCUAAAGACACCACAGACUCCGCUGUGCCUCAUUCCCAUAAGGCAGGGGUGGCCAACUCCUGAGAGACUGCGAUCUACUUUCAAAAUUAAAAUCUGGCAGUGAUCUACCCUUGUUUUUUAGGGGUUCAGGUCAAAGUCGUGGAAGCAUUUUGCCUCACAGCAAUAACUCCGUCUUCCGAGAUCAAGAGAAAAACCAGGCAGGGGAGAGAGGGCGGGGCCAGGUGCUCUUAGGCAAAAGCAAAGGAAAAUGAGCCAGUGAUCAACUGCAACCUCCCAGGGAUCGACCAGUCGAUCCCGAUCAACCUGUUUGGACAUCUGUGCUAUAAGGAAACAUGGACCCUGAGAAAGCAUGCCUGGAAUCCCUGAACCCUCACAUUGCUCAGAGAUUGGGGUGGCAUGCAACAGUGGUCAUCUUUGGUAUGAUGUCAACAUACUAAAUAUGUUUGUGUGUAGCACUUAUCCCUUUUAAUGGCACAUAGUACUGAUACGUACAAUGCUUGUGUUUUGUUAAAAUUUUGACAAGAAGUAUAAUCUCUGGCAGGAGUCCAGUCAUUUUUUCCUGACCAUAAGAUCUCUGCUUUGCUGCUUUCUUGAAUACAGAACUAUGCUUGUCCAACUCAUAGCCAUAACAAAAACAGCUUCAUUUCCAAAAGUCUGAAAGUUAGUAUUUGUGUAAACAGAAAUCUUGCAUCAACUGUUUUAGUCCCAUGAAAAGUGGGAGACUAUAUAUAGCAUGUGACUUUGCUGAUUAAUAUUUAUAUGCAAACAUACUUUGCAAAACAGUACCAACAUGACAGGAAAGAGACUGCUUUGUGUUAAAGACUACCAGUGACAAUAUGCAAGCAAUGUUUUUGAACUUAGUCCCAAGGUCACAUUUAUGAACCUUGUUUUAUCCCAAAUGGGGUCCAUGUGGACUAUUUUUCCUCUCUGCUUUCAUUUUAAUUAUGUAGCCACUCUUUUAAACAGUGACCACUGUUUCCUCUUAGUUAUUUGUCUGGCAAUAUACCAGAUAUUGCCAGAUAUUCCAAAUAUCUACUGGAGAACUUUCAGCGUGUACUGUAAGCAGGUGUGACUUAGUCCUCUUCAAAUGAACACAUAAUAGAUACAAGCACACCCCCAAGAGUGUUUGGAGUUCCAACAAUGCAUACAGAUUUAUGCAGGGAUGCAGACAUAUAAUGUUUUUGUUAAGGUAUUCUAAUGUGGAAAUAACCAUAAUCCGGUAGUCACCAGUUCUGCAAACAUUUAUUGGGGGGGGGGGGGAGGCUGGUAAUUGUGGGAGUGCAAGUGCCCUGGAGAUCAACCUGUAAAACUGAAGAAACUGAUACUUUUCAAAUACCAUUCAGUGUCUUUUGCUCAUUAGCAGUGUAAUGUAUGCAGUCUUAAUUAAAUCUAUUCAAGCUUGCGUACUGAAUCAGAAAAAGAGUGUAUUUCCUUUCCUGGCCUCCUACGCAGCAACUCUGAUGCAACUUGUAUGCCUAGUUUUUCAAAAGUUUUGUUUAACCACUUCUUUUCCUUUUGUUCCAGUUUUUCCUCACUGCACCAUCGCUGUGAAACACUUAGUGGACGAUGAAUUAUAUUCACAAAUCAUGUAUAUAUGCAUGUGAGCUCAAGUCUACUGCCUACUUUGUAUUUGCGUGGUGACUUUUGGUGGCAAAUGUAUCAUCACUUCUUCAUCUCAUUGCUG
rnacentral:lncRNA from 1 species